rnacentral:rRNA from 1 species
AUGUUUUACCUUGUCGUUAUGGCUAGUCCUCCUAUCCUUAUUAUUACUCCCGAGCAUGAAAUCCUCAAUUUUAAGCAAAGGAAGGGACAAAAUUUAAAAGAUGCUUGGCAUAGAAUUCGCAAUGCUCAAAAUAGAUCUACUAGGAAGCUUUCUACUUCCGUUCUUCUCCGCAAUUUUUAUGUAGGCAUCACUCCUUGGAAUAGAUGUGUUCUUGAUACUGUUGCCGGAGGUGAUUUCUUGAGUAGCCAUACGUUUGAUGCUUAUAAUGCUAUGUUAGAUUUUUUUGGCCCACCACCUCUUUUGGUUAAUGGAACCGUUUUAACUUUAGAACUCGUUAUGCAACGGCUUGAUAUUAUUUAA